UUAUGGCUUAAAAUCCAUUACCACUGGUGCAGGUGGAUGAUGAGGAUUUCUAUGAUGUGCCAUAUGAGUAGGAAUAUGAUAGUGAAGAUUCAAAUGUUGAAGAUAAACCAAGAAAUGAUUAUCCUGAUGAAACAUCCGAUGAGGAGGAAGAGGAGGAGGAAGAGGAUGAAGAUGAAGAUGAAGAGAGUAAAUCCUCUAGCAGCAUCAAGUCUUCAGA